rnacentral:rRNA from 1 species
GACGAACGCUUGCGGCGUGCUUAACCCAUGCAAGUCGAACGAAGUGGCGACCGGGUGAGUAAUACGUGAGUAACCUGCCCUCCUUUUUGGGAUCAGCCUUGGCAACGGGGUCUAAUACCGAAUAAAGGUGGAUGGGCUCGCGGCCUAUCAGCUUGUUGGUGGGGUGAUGGCCUACCAAGGCGGUGAAGGGUUGCCGGCCUGGGAGGGUGACGGGCCACAUUGGGACUGAGAGAAGGCCCAGACGCCUACGGUAGGCAGCAGUGGGGGAUAUUGCACAAUGGGCGAAAGGGUGAUCCAGCCAUGCCGCGGGUGUGAAGAAGGUCUGCGGAGUGUAAAGCACUUUAAGUUGGGAGGCGUUACCAACAGAAUAAGCACCGGCUAACUUCGUGCCAGCCGCCGCGGUAAUAC